rnacentral:rRNA from 1 species
CAGCUCAGCAUGGAAAUUGGGGCCCUCGGCCUUGAAUUGUAGUCUCCAGAUGCAUCGCCAAUGGAGGCGCAGAUGUAAGCCUCUUGGAAAAGAGCAUCAACGAGGGUGAGAGUCCCGCUUGUCAUCUGCAGUCCCCCAUGCACGGCAUGCCUUCUAAGAGUCGCGUUCCUCGGAAUUGGAGCGUCAAUUGGGUGGUAAAUUUCAUCUCAAGCUAAAUAUUGGUUCGAGACCGAUAGCAAACAAGUACCAUGAGGGAAAGGUGAAAAGGACUUUGAAAAGAGAGUUAAAAGUGCCUGAAAUUGCUGAAAGGGAAGCGAAUGGAACCAGUGUUGCUUGGCGAGAUUGUCAUACGCAUUCGCGUGUGGUGGUUCUUGCCUUGUG